UGUCGAUGAAGAGCGCAGCCAACUGUGUGAAUUAAUGUGAACUGCAUACUGCUUUGAACAUCGACAUCUUGAACGCACAUUGCGGCCACGGGUUAGCCUGUGGCCACGCCUGUCCGAGGGUCG
rnacentral:rRNA from 1 species